AGAGUUUGAUCCUGGCUCAGGAUGAACGCUGGCGGUAUGCCUAACACAUGCAAGUCGAACGAAUCCUUUCGGGGAUUAGUGGCGGACGGGUGAGUAACGCGUGAGAAUCUGCCUUUUGGUCUGGGACAACCAUUGGAAACGGUGGCUAAUACCGGAUGUGCCUUUAGGGGUGAAAGAUUAAUUGCCAGAAGAGGAGCUCGCGUCUGAUUAGCUAGUUGGUGAGGUAAAGGCUCACCAAGGCAGCGAUCAGUAGCUGGUCUGAGAGGAUGACCAGCCACACUGGGACUGAGACACGGCCCAGACUCCUACGGGAGGCAGCAGUGGGGAAUUUUCCGCAAUGGGCGAAAGCCUGACGGAGCAAUACCGCGUGAGGGAGGAAGGCUCUUGGGUUGUAAACCUCUUUUAUCAGGGAAGAACUAAAUGACGGUACCUGAAGAAUCAGCAUCGGCUAACUCCGUGCCAGCAGCCGCGGUAAUACGGAGGAUGCAAGCGUUAUCCGGAAUUAUUGGGCGUAAAGCGUCCGCAGGUGGCUCAUCAAGUCUGCUGUCAAAGGCAGGGGCUUAACCCCUGAAAGGCAGUGGAAACUGGAGAGCUAGAGUGCAGUAGGGGUAGAGGGAAUUCCCGGUGUAGCGGUGAAAUGCGUAGAGAUCGGGAAGAACAUCGGUGGCGAAAGCGCUCUGCUGGACUGCAACUGACACUAAAGGACGAAAGCUAGGGGAGCGAAUGGGAUUAGAUACCCCGGUAGUCC
rnacentral:rRNA from 1 species